UACAGAGGUCUCAAGCGUUGUUCGGAUUCAUUGGGCGUAAAGGGUGCGUAGGCGGCGCGGUAAGUCGGGUGUGAAAUCUUGGAGCUUAACUCCGAAACUGCAUUCGAUACUGCCGGUGCUUGAGGACUGGAGAGGAGACUGGAAUUUACGGUGUAGCGGUGAAAUGCGUAGAUAUCGUAAGGAAGACCAGUGGCGAAGGCGGG
rnacentral:rRNA from 1 species